UAGGGAAUAUUGCUCAAUGGGGGAAACCCUGAAGCAGCAACGCCGCGUGGAGGAUGAAGGUUUUCGGAUUGUAAACUCCUUUUCUAAGAGAAGAUUAUGACGGUAUCUUAGGAAUAAGCACCGGCUAACUCCGUGCCAGCAGCCGCGGUAAUACGGAGGGUGCAAGCGUUACUCGGAAUCACUGGGCGUAAAGAGCGCGUAGGCGGGAUAGCAAGUCAGAUGUGAAAUCCUAUGGCUUAACCAUAGAACUGCAUUUGAAACUGUUAUUCUAGAGUAUGGGAGAGGUAGGUGGAAUUCUUGGUGUAGGGGUAAAAUCCGUAGAGAUCAAGAGGAAUACUCAUUGCGAAGGCGACCUGCUGGAACAUAACUGACGCUGAUGCGCGAAAGCGUGGGGAGCAAACAGG
rnacentral:rRNA from 1 species